CCAUGGUUUCUGCCUCCCCCGACGCGCACCCAGACUAGGCGGGCAACGGCUCCACCCGGGCGCCCCGGCUCGACGGGUCGAGAGGGGAGAAGCGGCAAGGGCAGUGGGCCAGCGGCGGGAGCGGCGUUCGCCUCGCUCUCAGGGCCGGGGGGCUGCGCCGCGGCCCCGCAUCCCCCGCCCCGGCGCCUCUGCCCCCGCCCUGCGCCCGGGCUCCACUGGUCCGGCGGCUGAGCCUCGGGAGGGGCUGCCAGAGACCCGAACCUGCAGCGCCCGAGAACUUUUUUCCUUCACUCCCCUGACGGAUGCCGGACAGCUAGUUGCCUUUCCCCUCCCCCUUUCUCUCUUAUUUCCUUUUCGUGUUCCUUCCUUCCUCCCUUUCUUUUCCCCGGCGGCGGCUGCGCCCGACUGAGACAGAAACUUGCCUCGGACGCCAAAACUAAAGUUGAGAGAACCGCCCGCCCGAGCCGCGCGCGGCUCCGCCUCCUCGCGGCUCUUCCUUCCUCUGCGCGCCCGCCCGCACCGAAUCUGUGGCCGGCCGCGGAGGGAAACUUUCCCCAGCAAGUUAACUACAUUCCUGCAGACUCUGGGCCUCCAACGCCCCUCCCGGCCGCACGUGACUAGCCCGCCCGCCGGCCUGGACUCUACCGGGCUUCGGGCCGGGGCCGGGAGCGUGCCUGGGGAUCCGCACCAGGAGGGCGGCUGGCCCGACGACGAAUGUUGGGUCUAGACUGGGUUGGAGUUUGGUCUCUGCGGGGAACGCGGCCGCCCUUGGCCGCAGGAAGUCCUCCCGCCCGGCGCGGCCCGUUCCCCGCCAGUCCCCGGGAAAGGUUGAAAGGCUUCCUAGAUGCGAAACAGCUAAGGCCGAGAGAAGUCUAGAGAGGACGUGUAAAUCCACUUAAACCCUCCCCGCGUUAGCUCUACUUGACCAACUCGAGUGUCAGUAUGGGCUCAAAGCCUCAGGACUAGAUUGGAGCACAAUGGUACCUGUAACAGACACUGAUUUUAAUAAGGGUCCUUUUUUUUAACGACUUGAUUUUUUUAACUUAUUAAUAUGCAAAACACACUUGAAUGGAGUAAACGAUUACUGUAAUUUGAAGCUCGAAGACCAGAUCUGUGACAAGCCAGGACAUGCCCUGGAUAAUUCUGAGGAAGGAUCUUCAUCACUUGAUGUUGCCGGGGAAAAAGACUUCAGACCCUCAAGAUUUUAAGGCAGUAUUCUAAUCAACUACUCUGGACCCAGUUUUGACUGAAGAAAGGGAUCUACCUCCAUGAUGCCCAUGACUGCUGCUUAUAUUUAUCCCUUACCCCAUCCCCAAAUGUCAAGUAUAUUUAACCACGAAUGUAUAGGUUCUGGAGUUACAGAGAUUUUUCAGAUCCCAGUUCCAUCAUUUACUAGCACUGUGACACUGGACAAGUUUUUUCCUAUUCUUUUAUUUCUUUAAUAUCAAGAUCAUGGAUAAUGACACCUACUUCAUAAGUUCAGACAAUAAAAUGAGUCAAUG